rnacentral:rRNA from 1 species
AUAACAGUUGGAAACGACUGCUAAUGCCCUAUAUGCCUUUAUGACAUAAGUCAGCAAGGGAAAUGCUUUUGUGCUCGAGGAUGGGACUGUAUGGUAUCAGAUAGUUGGUGGGGUAAUGGCCUACCAAGUCAAUGACGCCUAACUGGUUUGAGAGGAUGAUCAGUCACACUGGAACUGAGACACGGUCCAGACUCCUACGGGAGGCAGCAGUGGGGAAUAUUGCACAAUGGAGGAAACUCUGAUGCAGCAACGCCGCGUGGAGGAUGACACAUUUCGGUGCGUAAACUCCUUUUAUAUAGGAAGAUAAUGACGGUACUAUAUGAAUAAGCACCGGCUAACUCCGUGCCAGCAGCCGCGGUAAUACGGAGGGUGCAAGCGUUACUCGGAAUCACUGGGCGUAAAGAGCGUGUAGGCGGGUAAAUAAGUUUGAAGUGAAAUCCUAUAGCUCAACUAUAGAACUGCUUUGAAAACUGUUAACCUAGAAUAUGGGAGAGGUAGAUGGAAUUUCUGGUGUAGGGGUAAAAUCCGUAGAGAUCAGAAGGAAUACCGAUUGCGAAGGCGAUCUACUGGAACAUUAUUGACGCUGAGACGCGAAAGCGUGGGGAGCAAACAGGAUUAGAUA